rnacentral:rRNA from 1 species
UGGGGAAUAUUGGACAAUGGGCGAAAGCCUGAUCCAGCCAUGCCGCGUGUGUGAAGAAGGUCUUCGGAUUGUACAGCACUUUAAGUUGGGAGGAAGGGCAGUAAGCGAAUACCUUGCUGUCUUUACGUUACCGACAGAAUAAGCACCGGCUAACUCUGUGCCAGCAGCCGCGGUAAUCCAGAGGGUGCAAGCGUUAAUCGGAAUUACUGGGCGUAAAGCGCGCGUCGGUGGUUCGUUAAGUUGAAUGUGAAAGCCCCGGGCUCAACCUGGGAACUGCAUCCAAGGCUGGCGAGCUAGAGUAGGGCAGAGGGUGGUGGAAUUUCCUGGGGAGCGGUGAAAGGCGUAGAUAUAGGAAGGAACACAAGUGGCGAAGGCGACCACCUGGGCUCAUACUGACACUGAGAUGCGAAAGCGUGGGGAGCAAACAGG